AUUGAACGCUGGCGGCAUGCCUUACACAUGCAAGUCGAACGGUAACAGGUCUUCGGAUGCUGACGAGUGGCGAACGGGUGAGUAAUACAUCGGAACGUGCCCGAUCGUGGGGGAUAACGAAGCGAAAGCUUUGCUAAUACCGCAUAAGAUCUACGGAUGAAAGCAGGGGACCGCAAGGCCUUGCGCGAACGGAGCGGCCGAUGGCAGAUUAGGUAGUUGGCGGGAUAAAAGCUUACCAAGCCGACGAUCUGUAGCUGGUCUGAGAGGACGACCAGCCACACUGGGACUGAGACACGGCCCAGACUCCUACGGGAGGCAGCAGUGGGGAAUUUUGGACAAUGGGCGAAAGCCUGAUCCAGCCAUGCCGCGUGCAGGAUGAAGGCCUUCGGGUUGUAAACUGCUUUUGUACGGAACGAAAAGACUCUGGUUAAUACCUGGGGUCCAUGACGGUACCGUAAGAAUAAGCACCGGCUAACUACGUG
rnacentral:rRNA from 1 species